UUAAAACGUAUUUUUACAGGUGGCUGAAACCGCUGAAAAUACACCAGAACAGGCUAAAGAUAAAGCUGAGGAAGAAGAUCCUAAGGAACAUGAAGCCACCAGCAAAACUGAAUCUAGCGCAACUACCACUGGUGCUGCUAAUAAAAAGGCCUUUUUGGUCACGGAGAAGUUCUUGACUGAAGUCUUAGGGCCUACUAUGUUUGAGUCUGAAGUGGGGCAAAGACUGUCCACACCAGGAGUUGCAGUGGGGUUGGCUUGGACAGCAAUGGGAGGAGAAAUCAUGUUUGUGGAAGCCACGCGGAUGGGAGGAGAAGGAAAAUU